UCGGUGAUGGUAUAAUGCUAGAACUCUUGCCUGUCACGCAAGUAAUUCGGGUUCAAUUCUCGGUCAGCGAG
rfam:Coccomyxa subellipsoidea C-169, whole genome shotgun sequence.